CAUCGAUAUCCUCCUCUAACCAUUUUGGUGACGCCGACGUGAUAUAAACAUUGACAAAAUCACCAAAAUGUCCCGGGUCUUGGCAUCCAACUUCUGCGCUACUAUGCGAAUAUAAAUCCAUCUAAAAUUUCCUCCGACGAGGCCAAAGACAGAAUUGCACGCAGAUGACAAUUGAUUUGGUGACCCCGACGUGAUCGAAGCCAGCACGAAUAAUAAUUCUAAAAUCUGUAGAUAACCC
rnacentral:lncRNA from 1 species